UUGGGGUCAGGGAUUCAAAGUAUCCAAAAAGACGCAGUCUUCUUCUGCGACAAAUCUAGGGUUUUUUUGGUGUUCAUAUCUCUCGCCCCAUAGCCCCACCCGAUCAAAUCUACAUACAUCUAGUACAUAUGCAACCUCCAAACCCUCUCCGAUUCCUACACGGAUUCGUCUAAUUAAUAUUGAAUCCACUAUAACCCAUAUCUCAUUUGGUUUUUGGCUAUUAAUAAUGAUUCUCUCUCUCCUCUUGCGAUUCUCACCACCAUCCUCUUCUUUAAUUAAGCUUCGCAAUCUUCGUGUCUUUGGCCCUGGUUUGAAUCCUUUUGCGCCUUACAACAUGGCUAAUCACUCUUCUCGCUAAAUCUCUUGUCACUUUGUUUUGUUAUCCGCUCUCAAUUAUGUAAAGAAAGAAAAUCCUUUAAUUUGAGGGUCUAUUAGGUCCUAUUUUGGGUGUUUUAUACAACGAGUUGUUCAAAUUUGAGGGUUUGUUUUCUUGAAUACUGCAGUUUCUCGAGUCUCUUAAAUCAUGUAGAAAAGAAAAUUCCUGAAAUUUGUGGGUCGUUUACGUCCUAUUUGUCUGACAAUUACGUGGGUUUUCUUAGCUUUAGAAAUCUCAGCACAAUUAGUAAAAUUUGUCGAUUUGUUUGGUUAAAUAACAGUUUAUUGAGUAUUGGGUGUUCUUUGUUCUUUCUCUCUCUCUCUCUCUCUCACAC
rnacentral:lncRNA from 1 species